AUCCUCCUUAUCCUACCACAAGAUACCAACUACUACAUCUCUAAUGAAAACUGCUUUUCCUAACUAUUCAUCCAUUUUAACUACUGAACUACCUUUCUAACAGUCAUCUAUCCCUGUUUACACUAUAAACUAAGUAUCUACAAAUCAACAAAUAACUACUUAUUCUACAAGCAUCUUCAUACAAAUAUAAUAGUGGCACUACUUGUAUAAGAUUCAACACUACAUUAGAACAUGAGAAGAAUAAUCACAAAGAUCGAUCAUCUAUACAAAGAGAGGCUAUUUAGCUACCAUUGCAACU
rnacentral:lncRNA from 1 species